UUUAACCAAACAACCCUAAACCGACAACCCCCUUUCAACGUUCACCUAACAGCCCUAACGCACCACCCAUCGCCGCCACCCUUGUCACGUCUGUCACCUCACCACCACCACGCCCAUAUCCCACAAAAUCCGCUACCUACACCCCUCUUCUCCUUUCUCACACUCCAUCUCUGAAGCUUGCAGGCUCCAUGUGCGAUUUCAGCGGAUUUCGGGGCCUUCCUUGGCUGUUUUGAGACAAGUUUCAAGGGCUAAGUUAACAAGGUUGAAGUGUUGGAAAUUCCUCUUGAAUAACCCAAAAAAAAAAAAAAAUCUCAUCUGUUUUCUUAAAAAAAAAAAAAUCUCUCUUUUAACUUUAAGUUUGUUUUUUGUCGAAUUCUUUUGUGGUUCUCGGCUAAACAAGCUCCUCAAGCGGAUUCGGAGACUCGACGACGACGUUAGCCUCAGUUCGCUGUCAUAAAGAAGGUAAUCGCAUUCGUCCUAUCUUCGUCUUUAAUUUUGUUAAAGUAGAAAUGUAGUCGUCAAGUAUUUCUCAUCAUUUAUUUGGUUUAGUUGGCUAGAUUGUGUUUGCUUGUCGUUUGUUGUAAGUUAGUGUAAAACGACUAAUCAUACUUAGAAGAAUUGUUGGUUAAUUCAUCUAAGAUGUAUGCAAUUUUGUCGCUUGGCUAAUUUUCUGUUUCAGUCAUUUGUCAAAAGCUGCCACGUCCUUAUUUUUUUCGGUGUAAAGCAUGGCUUAUGGAAACUGCGAAUUUAGAAAGGGAAAUCUACUUAUUUGUGAGAAUAUAUAGCUUAUACAUGGAUUUGAUGUUAUGUUUGUUGUUGUCCUCCUGUAUGUUCAAGUAAUUAACUAAAAGCCAUGCUUCUUUUCUAUAAGAAUUCAAGUUAGGUGACCAAGUGAACCUGUUAAGUCUUUGUAAAUAUGGAAGUUUUCUCAUUGUUUAAGAAUUAUGGCUGUAACAUCUUGAAGUGUUUAUAUAGAUUCAGUUGUUUUGUUCAUCUUAUACCAUAUUACACUAUUUGCAGAUCGUAGAAUUUAAGCUUUAACAUUUGAUAUGAAGUUUAAACCAGUUCUGCUUGUUACAUUUGUUUUAAAAUCCUCUCUGUUAGGAAUAUACUAUGGUAUGCUUAGGAGUUCACUUGGGAAAUCCCAAAAGCUACAAAGAAACAUGUUGAUGCUAAGUACAUUUGUGGUCUUCUCAGCAUGAUUGUACUAGCUAAGUUGUCAUGUAUAAAUCUAGAAAGAGUUCUUAACUUAAUUAUCUCUAGAUGAGGAUAGUAAAAGACUGGUGUUUAGUGAAAUGGGACGAGAUAAAUAAGCAGUAGGUAGUUAGCUGCACAUAUUAUAUCCUGUGCCAAAUGUACGCUUUAGUUUGACAAUUUGCUAGUGUCAUUUUUCUUGAGCUUAACUAGACUUCCUAAUGUACAGGGGUGCUGCUAUGUGAGAGUCUAAAUUACUUGUUUUGGGCUUCCUUUUGUCUAGAAACAGUCACCAAAAAAAAAGUGUUAGUUUGCCUUUUGGCUCUAAGUUUCCAGUUAUAUGUACUUAAUUGGCUAUCUCUGUAUUUUUUUUUCAAGUUUGGAAACAAAUAUGAAUUAGUUUAUAUGCUUAUGUACUCACUUGAAUGAAAUAUGGAUAAGAGAGGAUCUAGUGACUGCUUUUGUUGCUUUUAUAUGUCCACAAGUAUGAAUAAUGAAUUUAUGAGGCAUGUCGAGCUUGUUAAGGGUAUGCGAGAAUUCUUGGCUGUUUAAUCUAGCACAUUUUCUGACUUGAAGAGUUCCUUUAAACGUUCUGACUUAAGAAACUUAGCUAAGGGUCUACAUGUUUUAAUGACUAAAAGUUGCGUACUCUUAAAAAAUUCACCUGCUUGUUGUAACAGCUUUGUUGCAUUCUAGCUAUGCCUUAAUAGACUCCAUUAGCCUAAAAAGGGACCUGCACUAUGUAGAGUUGGAUUAAUUGUUUUGCUUGGAAGAAUGGUGGUCAGUCGUGUUGCAUCCGUUCUUGGGCCUUUUUUUUGUAGUUGCCGAUUUGUCGAGGCGUGUAAUGUGACCAUAGCUGUACUAUUUUAUUUGUAUCUCCUGGUUUCAUGAAUCAAUAAGUAAAGAAUGCAUAUUUUGGUCGACCUUCCUAGACAGAUUUGGUCUCUUUACUCCCAUACUUUGUAGGGUGCGUCAGUCGUGUUGCAUCCGUUCUUGGGCCUUUUUUUUGUAGUUGCCGAUUUGUCGAGGCGUGUAAUGUGACCAUAGCUGUACUAUUUUAUUUGUAUCUCCUGGUUUCAUGAAUCAAUAAGUAAAGAAUGCAUAUUUUGGUCGACCUUCCUAGACAGAUUUGGUCUCUUUACUCCCAUACUUUGUAGGGUGCCUUACAUGUUGUCUUGGAGUCUUGAAAAUAAAGGUGUGAGCUUGUUUGAACAACCUAUUAUCAUGUUUAAGAAUUUCAAGUUGAACUCGUAGUUGCGUUAUAUUUGUUCAUAUUUUAGCUCAAAAGUUGAUGUGCUUUGAUCUGGAUGCUUAAAACCAUUUGAGUCGUCUAAAGCGAUCAGUUGGACAAAGUUACUUAUCUCAUAUUAUUGUAUUUCCCCCUCUGGUGGAACAUUAAAACAUAAAAGAAGGCUUUGGAUGUGAUCAUGGUUUAAAUGUUUGUGAGCUAAUUUUUGAGACUACAUACUAGAUUUUUUGACGUAGGAGAUCUUCUUAUGAUUUAACUAGAUUCUGGAAAUAAUUAGUAUUUUUGUGCCUUGUUUUAAUUACAACAUAUAGCAUUUGAUGUUAAUUAUUUCCAUCUAUGAUUAUUGGGAUUGUAACUCUAAUCCUUUUCUUUUCUUUCUUUUUACAUGAACACCAUGGGAGUUUGUUGGAGUUGUGACUCAACUCUAAUUCUGCCCAGGUCAUAAGAGCGGCCAGCAGCAGAUUAUUUGCUCGUCUCUAGUAGUCCCACCGCGUCCACGUCUCGAGUCUCCGUCCUUCUUCCUUAUUCAAAAUUUCAAGCCUCCAUAUUGUUUGAUACAUGCUGUUUAUAUUAUUUGACUAACACUCUUUGUGAAUUUGUAUUUUUUGUAGUUUUGUUUUGAACGUGUAACUUGACUUAAGUAUAUUACUAAGUUUAGUCAUUAUCUUCCC